GACGUAGGGCGCGAGCGUUGUCCGGAUUUAUUGGGCGUAAAGAGCUCGUAGGCGGCUUGUCGCGUCGACUGUGAAAUCCCCGCGGCUCAACCGCGGGUCUGCAGUCGAUACGGGCAGGCUAGAGUUCGGUAGGGGAGACUGGAAUUCCUGGUGUAGCGGUGAAAUGCGCAGAUAUCAGGAGGAACACCGAUGGCGAAGGCAGGUCUCUGGGCCGAUACUGACGCUGAGGAGCGAAAGCGUGGGGGAGCGAACAGG
rnacentral:rRNA from 1 species